CUGUGGUGCUUACAACAACACCACCCAUGGAUUGCUGAUAUUUUACUAGUAGGUAACUUUAAAAACUACCUGGAGUUUCCAUUGUUGUGUGCUUCGUUUCAGUGGUGGAUGUUAAAUGCCCUAACACUUUGGGCAGAAGAGCUUGGUGACUUGUUCACACUAAUGGGUGCCCACUGUGUGGAGGAGUUGGCCUAUAUAUGGAGCCCAGCUCUGUCAAUUUCUACCUCAAGGGUUGUCGUGAGAAACAGGACCAUUUCUACAUCUCAUGUCCGUAGGACAGGGCCUGGCAAAGAGGCAGACUUGUUAAAGUGUUUGCUCUGUAUCAUUGCCGGAGCACAUAUUCAGCACAGUGGGUGCAAGACCCAAUUUUCAAAGAAAAAAGGAGGAUCUGUGAGCAUGAGAGCAAUUGAGGUCGGACAGAUGGUGGUCUCGGUAGCUGUGAAAAUCUUCCCAGGGGACAGAAAUGCCCUGCAGAAGACAUAGCUUCUGAAGAAAGACAUUGCUUUCCAUGUGCCCUUAGUCGCCAAACCCAGCGUAGCCUUAUCCUCUAAUGUGUCCCCUGUCCAGUACGGUUUUGGAAUGUAGCAUAGAAUGCCUCCCCACACCCUGUACAUUUGCAAUGACAUUGCAUAUUGCAGGCUAUCAGAAACCCCACUGCUGAAAACCACGAAACUCUGCUAUCCUAGUGCUUCCCAAACUUGUUCCACUGGCUGACAGAAUCUGCCAUCCUCCCUCUGCACCACCAGCACCACUUCAUAGUUCGUAAAAACCCCUUGGAAACCACCAUUCUCUUGCAUGGAUUUCAUACCAUACUGUGUAGCCCCUGAGGGGUGUGAGGGAGGAUCUCUGGUUGGUGUUGCCCUGGGUAGAUGGGGGUUCCAAGGAGGGAGGACCCAGCUCCCCAGCAGGGAACAGUCAGAGACCUCUGCUUUCAUCUUAGUUAGGCCAUUGACUUUCCACACGAGGUUACGGUGUUGAACAACGCUGGAUACCACUGUCCAGAGACUGACCUGCCCUGGCCUGAGCCUGACCAUCAGACAAUCACACCAUGCAUCUCCCUGAGAAGUGCUGUCACGUGACUCAUCUCAACUCGCAUGGGCAAUGAGUUGAACUGUGUUUCCAAUAAAAGGAUCCAAGGAAGACCACGCUUUCUGGUCUGACACCUGGACAGCAGCCUGUCAGGAUAGGCAACCGCCAAUGUGCUUUUGGGCACUGGACCAGUGCAGCCUUACCUUCUUUCCUCUUUCCUUUGAUUUCAUCAUCUGCUCCUUUUUAUUUUAUUUAUUGUGUCAAUUUUAUCUAUUAUUGGAAGUCAUCUUAAGCUAUUUUUAGGACAUGGAAGACUAUAGUAUAUACAUAAUUAAGCCCAGAGCACUCAGUGAGGUGCGCCUUCUCCAAAGGUAAAUGCAAACAUUUGAUGUGUAUUUUCAGUUCUAAAUGACCCCAGCUGACUUUCUGCACCACUUGGGUUCAUCAGAUGACAGCCAAGUUUGCUUUACACUUAGAGUUGUGUAGACAGGUAUGCCUUGCCAGGCUGAGUCUUUCCAUUUCACUUGCUAUACUUCAAAGGUGAGCUCAGGUAUAUGUACGAGUAUAAUACAUUGUCCAGUGCCAACACAAACCCACUUUUUCCAAAUUGCAGAAAAGAACAAUUGAAUCAAAUUUAGGUAUUUUUGUUUUUCUUGUUUUAAAAGCUGUCGUAGUUUCAGUGGGCCCUGAAGACCAUGGUUUGGCCCAGACCUUCACCAGCACUGCCACAUGGGUGUGGCCCACACACUAGAGUUCCACUUGGCCUGUACAUGCCCAAGGGUCGUGCUUCAGAAUUGGGAUGUUUGGAACAUUCUCCAGGAACAUCCAUAAAAUCCCUUUAGUUUGAAAACCAAAAAUCAAAACCUGUAAAAAGAAAACAUUUUUCUUUUGGGAAGGUAUUUCCCUUUCUUCCUCUUCAGUAUACUGAUGGGGUCUCUGGAAACACAGCUGGUGUCAUGUGUGUUGAAGCUCAGAGCCGAUUGGCCAUGGUCUCUCACAUGACUACAGUACGUGACAGAAUAUGAGUGAACACAGGAUGAGCCAUCAGCCAGUGAGGGGGACUGAGUAUUUUCAUGCUGGAAUCUUUUCUGUUUGAUGUUUCAGGCAGGGGACUUUGGUUAGAAGGUAGAUGCGUGACCACGUAGUAUUGGUCUGACAGUGCUGGGCAGUGCUUGGGUUUGAACAAAAUAGCAAGCUUGCCUUUGGUGACGAAGGAGAAAGAGCAGAGACCAGAGAUGUGGCAUUCUGAAUUGUGGGUGCUCGUGAUGCCAUGAGCACGGUGCCUGGCUUGCAGAGGUGGCCUCCAGCCAACCUGUGCAUGGAGGGAUCCCUCUUCAGCCUUAAGGAGGACCAGCCAGAUGACCUCAGCGUGCAUCCCCACACUGCCCACCCUCUCCUCUCCAAGGCGACCUGGAAGUCUUGGUAACUCUUCUCCAGUCUCUUCCGGCUUCCAGCGUUCUAUAAAUGCUCUCAGAAAGCGUCCAAGGUAAAAAUUUUCAUGGCACAAUCCUUUCGCUCCAUUACCUCCUGGGCACCCUCAUCCGCGUGCAUCCGUCCAGCUCUGGUGCGUUUCCGCUUGUGUGCAUGAAGGGCUCCCCGAGACCACACGCCCUGGUUGGACUUCCUGCAAGAGAGGGGCCGAGCAGGCUGCGUGUGGGCACCCUGACCUCCUCCACCCAUGCCACAGCCUCCCAGACCUCUUCACCACCUGCCACCAACAUGUCCGUGUCACAUGGCCAUGUCAUCACAAGCUCAUGGGGGAUUGGAGCAGGGCAGAUGGUAUGGUGUGGGGAAGGGCCACAUUUACUAACAAGAUAUUUGUGUUGUUUCUAGAGGCCCUCCCAUCCCCAGGAUGGCACUCAGGCCGUAAGGUGCUGUGGUGGCAGAAGAUGGAGGCGCAGAAGGGCAGGACCCCCGGGAAACAGGUUGUGUGUGUUUUGGACAUGAGGAAACUGAGGACCAGAACGUUUGUGCAAACUGUCUGAGACGACAGCGAGGAAGUGGCAAAACUGAGAACUGAUCCACAGUCUGUGAUCAUGUAGGCGCACUGAAUGGCACUUUCUGCAGGACCUGCGGCCCGCCCCCCUCUGCCCUCCCCUCUUCGGCCUGCUGUCCCCAAAUCUGGACUGUCCAGCUCUUCGCCUGGCCCCACACCUCAGUGGGGACCUUCGCCUGCUCUGCUCCCUCCCAGGUCUCCUCCUCCCGGCACAUGUCAGGGUGCCUUCCCAUCUGUCUA